UCAGGUGGCCGCAGAGAAUAGGCCCAAGCGACUGUUUACCAAAAACAUAGGUUUCUGCUAAGUCGCAAGACGAUGUAUAGGAGCUGACGCCUGCCCGGUGCUGGAAGGUUAAGGGGAUCUGUUAGAGCAAUCGAAGCAGUGAACUUAAGCCCCAGUAAACGGCGGCCGUAACUAUAACGGUCCUAAGGUAGCGAAAUUCCUUGUCGGGUAAGUUCCGACCCGCACGAAAGGCGUAACGAUUUGGGCACUGUCUCAACAACAGACUCGGUGAAAUUGUAAUUCCGGUGAAGAUGCCGGAUACCUGCGACAGGACGGAAAGACCCCAUGGAGCUUUACUGUAGCUUGACAUUGGGUCUUGGUACUACAUGUACAGGAUAGGUGGGAGGCUUUGAAACCAGGACGCCAGUUUUGGCGGAGCCAUCCUUGGGAUACCACCCUUGUAGUACUGGGACUCUAACCAUAGGCCAUGAAUCUG
rnacentral:rRNA from 1 species